CCUACGGGCGGCAGCAGUGGGGAAUAUUGGACAAUGGGCGAAAGCCUGAUCCAGCCAUGCCGCGUGUGUGAAGAAGGCCUUCGGGUUGUAAAGCACUUUCAGUGGGGAAGAAAGCCUUGGGGCUAAUACCCUCGAGGAAGGACAUCACCCACAGAAGAAGCACCGGCUACUCCGUGCCAGCAGCCGCGGUAAUACGGAGGGUGCGAGCGUUAAUCGGAAUUACUGGGCGUAAAGCGCGCGUAGGCGGUCUGAUAAGCCGGUUGUGAAAGCCCCGGGCUCAACCUGGGAACGGCAUCCGGAACUGUCAGGCUAGAGUGCAGGAGAGGAAGGUAGAAUUCCCGGUGUAGCGGUGAAAUGCGUAGAGAUCGGGAGGAAUACCAGUGGCGAAGGCGGUCUUCUGGACUGACACUGACGCUGAGGUGCGAAAGCGUGGGUAGCAAACAGGAUUAGAUACCCCUGUAGUC
rnacentral:rRNA from 1 species